GAUGAACGCUGGCGGCGUGCCUAAUACAUGCAAGUCGAGCGAACAGAUGAGGAGCUUGCUCCUCUGACGUUAGCGGCGGACGGGUGAGUAACACGUGGAUAACCUACCUAUAAGACUGGGAUAACUUCGGGAAACCGGAGCUAAUACCGGAUAAUAUAUUGAACCGCAUGGUUCAAUAGUGAAAGACGGUUUUGCUGUCACUUAUAGAUGGAUCCGCGCCGCAUUAGCUAGUUGGUAAGGUAACGGCUUACCAAGGCAACGAUGCGUAGCCGACCUGAGAGGGUGAUCGGCCACACUGGAACUGACACACGGUCCAGACUCCUACGGGAGGCAGCAGUAGAGAAUCUUCCGCAAUGGGCGAAAGCCUGACGGAGCAACGCCGCGUGAGUGAUGAAGGUCUUCGGAUCGUAAAACACUGUUAUUAGGGAAGAACAAAUGUGUAAGUAACUAUGCACGUCUUGACGGUACCUAAUCAGAAAGCCACGGCUACCUACGUG
rnacentral:rRNA from 1 species